UACGAAGGGGGCUAGCGUUGUUCGGAAUCACUGGGCGUAAAGCGCACGUAGGCGGACUCUUAAGUCAGGGGUGAAAUCCUGGAGCUCAACUCCAGAACUGCCUUUGAUACUGAAGAUCUUGAGUUCGGGAGAGGUGAGUGGAACUGCGAGUGUAGAGGUGAAAUUCGUAGAUAUUCGCAAGAACACCAGUGGCGAAGGCGGCUCACUGGCCCGAUACUGACGCUGAGGAGCGAAAGCGUGGGGAGCAAACAGG
rnacentral:rRNA from 1 species